rnacentral:ncRNA from 2 species
GAUGUUAAAGGUGAUGAAACUCACCUUCUGGCAUUUCCAGAGAACCGCCACUCGGCUAAUAGUUUCUAGCUCAAC